rnacentral:lncRNA from 1 species
AGCGGCUGGUCAUCACAGUUGGCAUCACCCUGGAUGCCCAGCAGCCCUGUCCUGUUUCUGGGACCUGUGAGUCAAAGAAAAGGCCCCUGUCCCAGGGGAGUGACAGGUGGUAAUUAGGCUGCAUUGGGUGGGGAGGUUUGUCUCAGCCUCCACUGUUCCCGGAAACCACUGUUCUCCUUGGAGCAGCCACUGGGAGUUGGAGUGUUUAUUUGAUUUUGAACUUGCUAAGCCUGUAAUUUACCUACCAGAACAGACAGAGUCCAGCUGUCUGAACUGUCAUUAAAAGCAGAUCCUGGGCCCACCCCCAUCUGCAGCACACCCAGCAGAAGUGGACCCACCCACAUGCCCAGGGAUGCACAUCUCUGGAGUCUACACUCUGCACCUCUGAGGACAGACCUCAGGGAGGGCAGCAGCAGUGGACAAUUUGGGUCCAUGCUGUGGGACAGCAGCCCUUUUAGCUGGACCAGAGGACAUCCUUGUGUGAGUUCAGAGGAAGAGACCCUCCCAUAUACAACAAAGGGUAGGUCCAGACUGUCUGGAAGGUGGUGAAUUCCCCAUGAAUGUAGGCUUCAAACAAAGGCCUGCAGGGAUUAGACAAAGCACCAGCCUGAAUGUUCAGCAGACUGACUUGCUUAGUGCCGAAGCAAAUUCCCUUUCUCAUUCUUGCUUCAUUCUUUCAUCUAUGACAUGAGGGCAUAGGAUUUGUGUUAGUCAGGUUUCUGUUACUGUAACAAAAUACUGAAGACAAUCAAUUUUAAAGAAGAGGAAAGUUUUUAGUGGGCAUGGUGGUUUCCUGUAGUUCCAGCUACUCAUAGGAGGCUGAAUCAGGAGGAUCUCUUGAGCCCACAAGUUCAAUAUCAGCCUGGGCAAUAGAGACAGGCCUUAUCUGAAACAAAACAAAACAAAACAAAACAAAAAAGAAAGAAAAAGAAAAAAGAAAGAAAAGGAAAAAGCCCCCCAAGAAUUUGGUUCAUGUUUUAGAAGUUUUAGCCUCUGGUUGGUUGACCCCAUUAUUUCUGGGCCUGUAGUGAGGCAGCCGAUCAUGCUGUGGGGUGUGGGGUACAGCAAAGUUGUUAGCUUAUGGCAUCUGAGAAACUGCAGAGGGAGAGAAAGAAGAAGAGGAAAGGCUUGGGUCCCACUAUCUCUCCCAGAGCAAACCUCAAUGAACCUGAGACCUCCUAUUAAGGCCCACCUCUUAAAGCUCCCCACCUCAAUAGAAGCAAGCCAGGGACUAAACUUUUAAUACAUGUGCCUUUGAGGGACAUCCAGGUCAAACUAUGGUGCAACACUCAUCCCCAAAGCUCUUCCAGUCUGAGAAUCUCUCUGCCAUCCUCCCUCUCCCUCCCCCAAAACCUAAGGGCCCAGCCACAGGAUUCAGGACUUUACCUGACAGCUCUCUCCUCCCAACAUCAGGGUAGUGGAGGCUUGGGAACUAUUCGACAAACAUCAGUGUUUGGUCUCUCCAAAGCCCAGUGCGUGACUUGACCUGGUCUGAGGGUCCAGGAUGGGGUGACAUGAAUGUUCUGAAGAUGCAGACUCUGCCUUUCCCCCCAGGUAUGGGAGCAGGAAUGUAAGGACCAUGACACGACUCUCUCUUCCUGCAGCAAAGCAGAGUGUAGCUGUCCUGAUGGCCAGAAUGCUGGUGCCUUUAGGCAGCUACCAGGUGUCAUCAAAUAGACAAGGUUUUGGAGAAGGAAGAACACAGUAGGCACAUAGCCCAUGAGGGGGUGGUCUUAUUGCCCAGCCACUUGGCUCUCUGGUUGCCUCUGGCUGCCCCGACUAUGUUCACAGCUGCACGUCACAAGCAAAAGUAAGGUGGCCAACCCGGGGCCCAGGAGCAGAGAUUCCCCACAGACACCUUCACAAGCGCAGUGUGGUACUGGCCCUGCUACCAGCUGAGCAUGUGAAGUCCUGUGUUUUUGUGGCUUUCUGUAGGAAAGUGGGUAACGUGCUUUAGAGAAAUUCCCCACAAUUUUGCAGGAAAGGAGGCUGUGGACAGGAGAAGGAGGGGUUUUAGAGUCAAACAGAUCUGGUGUCCAGUCCUGGCUCUGGCUCUUGUGACCCAACCUCAUCACAAGCCCUCUGUGUCUGCUCCUUGCUCUAUCGAGGGGUGCUGGCCUGGCUCUGCCCUUGCAAGGCCUCUUGAGGGUCAGAUGCGCCCAUAGAGCACUUAGCACAGUAUCUCAUUUUAAAUGACCUUUCCUGUGGGCCCCCUUGGCCAGUGUUCCCAGGAACACCCUCUCCUUCUGGGAUGGGCCCUGGAGGUGCUGCUGGACUUACCUCAAAAAUCCACUCUCUCUUUUUCCUUCUGCACUCUCACCUUCCUGGGAGAGCACAGGGACAGCACUGACUGGGGUCUCUCCUGAUGAAGGGCAGGCGUGGCCCACCCGUGCCUUGCUGGUGAGUGUGGUGCCCCCUGUAUCCUCACAGGAAGCUGAGGGGGACUUUCCAUCAAAGGUUUCUCUUCUUACUGGGAAGCCUUGAGCAAGCAUUUGGCCCUUUUUUAAAAAAUAUUAUUUUUUAUUUUUUUCUCACUUAAGAAAACAUGACACGAGUGCCAGGGAAAUUUUUGAAAAUAACAGAAAACAGAUGACAGUCCCCCAUCACCCCGCACACGAUGAGCUGCUGUGAGCCCUCCCCGGCCUUGGCACACUGGUCUUUACACGGGAUGUAUGGAUUACUACAGUUAGGUCCACACUCUAUGCACUUUGGU